rnacentral:lncRNA from 1 species
GGAGACCGCCGGGAGCCCGACUUCCUGGCGCUUUGCCCUUUGGGGAGCGGAGCCAAGGAACAGCGCCAACCUCUCUCCACAAGCCAGGGACCCUACGACCCACCGCCGCAGAGAUUAUGCUUGUGUUUCUCCAGGCCAGAACCAGCAGCUGAUUUAGAUACCAUCAAGACACCUAAAACCUUAUCAUGAGCCAGAUGCUGUGGAAGAGAUUCUGGGAGAAUCCUGAGGACCCCCCAGUUGCAGCCAUGUCAAGACUGAUGCUGAGGAGGACCCCAACUGUCACGAGCAACACCCGUCGAACACAGCCACCUACUUGGGGAAAGAUCAAGAAGCUGUCACAGAUGGUGGAAGAAAACCUGAGGAAAGCGGGACAACCAGUCACAAUGAGUAAUUUAAUGAUAGCUAUGAGAGCGGUGAUCACCAUUGCUUCUGCAGAUGCAGAUCCUGACUCCUGCGAGAAGUAGCUCACCGUGAUAAAGCUGCCUUUGCUUUUAUUGCCCUGCAAAAACAAGAAGGGGGAUAUGCUGGGGAAUAGGCCCCCAAAUCUGGACAUAAACUGGCCCCAAAACUGGCCAUAAACAAAAUCUCUGCAGCGCUGUGACAUGUUCAUGGUGGCCAUAACGCCCAUGCUGGAAGGCUGUGGUUUACCGGAAUGAGAGCGAGGAACACCUGGCCUAUCCAGGGCGGAAAACCACUUAUAGGUAUUCCUAAACCACAAACAACCUAUGCCUUAAGGACAUGUUCCUGCUGCAGAUAACUAGCCAGAGCCCAUCCCUUUGUUUCGGCCCAUCCUUUUGUUUCCUGUAAGGAGUGCUUUUAGUUAAUCUAUAAUCUAUAGAAACAAUACUUAUCACUGGCUUGCUGUCAAUAAAUAUGUGGGUAAAUCUCUGCUCAUGGCUCUCAGCUCUGAAGGCUGUGAGUCCCCUGAUUUCCCACUCCACAUGCUA